rnacentral:rRNA from 1 species
GACGAACGCUGGCGGCGUGCCUAACACAUGCAAGUCGAGCGAAUGAAGUUCCUUCGGGAAUGGAUUUAGCGGCGGACGGGUGAGUAGCACGUGGGCAACCUGCCUCAUAGAGGGGAAUAGCCUUCCGAAAGGGAGAUUAAUACCGCAUAAGAUUGUAGUAUCGCAUGAUACAGCAAUUAAAGGAGCAAUCCGCUAUGAGAUGGGCCCGCGGCGCAUUAGCUAGUUGGUGAGGUAACGGCUCACCAAGGCGACGAUGCGUAGCCGACCUGAGAGGGUGAUCGGCCACAUUGGGACUGAGACACGGCCCAGACUCCUACGGGAGGCAGCAGUGGGGAAUAUUGCACAAUGGGGGAAACCCUGAUGCAGCAACGCCGCGUGAGUGAUGACGGCCUUCGGGUUGUAAAGCUCUGUCUUCAGGGACGAUAAUGACGGUACCUGAGGAGGAAGCCACGGCUAACUACGUG